rnacentral:rRNA from 1 species
UCCCGGGUGACGAGCGGCGGACGGGUGAGUAAUGUCUGGGAAACUGCCUGAUGGAGGGGGAUAACUACUGGAAACGGUAGCUAAUACCGCAUAACGUCGCAAGACCAAAGAGGGGGACCUUCGGGCCUCUUGCCAUCAGAUGUGCCCAGAUGGGAUUAGCUAGUAGGUGGGGUAACGGCUCACCUAGGCGACGAUCCCUAGCUGGUCUGAGAGGAUGACCAGCCACACUGGAACUGAGACACGGUCCAGACUCCUACGGGAGGCAGCAGUGGGGAAUAUUGCACAAUGGGCGCAAGCCUGAUGCAGCCAUGCCGCGUGUAUGAAGAAGGCCUUCGGGUUGUAAAGUACUUUCAGCGGGGAGGAAGGUGUUGAGGUUAAUAACCUCAGCAAUUGACGUUACCCGCAGAAGAAGCACCGGCUAACUCCGUGCCAGCAGCCGCGGUAAUACGGAGGGUGCAAGCGUUAAUCGGAAUUACUGGGCGUAAAGCGCACGCAGGCGGUCUGUCAAGUCGGAUGUGAAAUCCCCGGGCUCAACCUGGGAACUGCAUUCGAAACUGGCAGGCUAGAGUCUUGUAGAGGGGGGUAGAAUUCCAGGUGUAGCGGUGAAAUGCGUAGAGAUCUGGAGGAAUACCGGUGGCGAAGGCGGCCCCCUGGACAAAGACUGACGCUCAGGUGCGAAAGCGUGGGGAGCAAACAGGAUUAGAACCGGGGGGAAAUCCAAAAAAUUGGGGGGGGGGGGGGGGUUGGGGGGGGG